rnacentral:rRNA from 1 species
GAUGAACGCUGGCGGCGUGCCUAAUACAUGCAAGUCGAGCGAACAGACGAGGAGCUUGCUCCUUUGACGUUAGCGGCGGACGGGUGAGUAACACGUGGGUAACCUACCUAUAAGACUGGGACAACUUCGGGAAACCGGAGCUAAUACCGGAUAAUAUUUCGAACCGCAUGGUUCGAUAGUGAAAGAUGGCUUUGCUAUCACUUAUAGAUGGACCUGCGCCGUAUUAGCUAGUUGGUAAGGUAACGGCUUACCAAGGCAACGAUACGUAGCCGACCUGAGAGGGUGAUCGGCCACACUGGAACUGAGACACGGUCCAGACUCCUACGGGAGGCAGCAGUAGGGAAUCUUCCGCAAUGGGCGAAAGCCUGACGGAGCAACGCCGCGCGAGUGAUGAAGGUCUUCGGAUCGUAAAACUCUGUUAUUAGGGAAGAACAAACGUGUAAGUAACUGUGCACGUCUUGACGGUACCUAAUCAGAAAGCCACGGCUAACUACGUG